GUCGAGAAUCUUCCGCAAUGCGCGAAAGCGUGACGGAGCGACACCGCGUGAUGGAUGAAGUCCUUCGGGGCGUAAACAUCUUUUAUAAAGGAGGAAAUUUUUGACGUUACUUUAUGAAUAAGGGGCUCCCAAUCUCGUGCCAGCAGGAGCGGUAAUACGAGAGCCUCAAGCGUUAUCCGGAAUCAUUGGGCGUAAAGGGUGCGUAGGUGGUUUGAUUAGUCUCCAGUUAAAACUUCGAGCUUAACUCGAAAAGAGCGGGGGAAACGGUCAAACUAGAGUAUGUGAGAGGUGUGUGGAACUCAUGGUGUAGGGGUGAAAUCCGUUGAUAUCAUGGGGAACACCAAAAGCGAAGGCAGCACACUGGCACAUCACUGACACUGAGGCACGAAACCUAAGGUAGCGAAUGGGAUUAGAAACCCUGGUAGUCC
rnacentral:rRNA from 1 species